UACAGAGGGUGCAAGCGUUGUCCGGAAUAACUGGGCGUAAAGGGCGCGUAGGCGGCCUGAUAAGUCGGGGGUGAAAUUCUGCGGCUUAACCGCAGGACGGCCUUCGAGACUGUCGGGCUUGAGCACGGUAGAGGCAGGUGGAAUUCCCGGUGUAGCGGUGGAAUGCGUAGAGAUCGGAAAGAACACCAACGGCGAAAGCACUCUGCUGGGCCGACACUGACACUGAGAGACGAAAGCUAGGGGAGCGAAUGGG
rnacentral:rRNA from 1 species